rnacentral:rRNA from 1 species
UACGUAGGGGGCAAGCGUUGUCCGGAUUUAUUGGGCGUAAAGAGCGUGUAGGCGGUUUGGUAGGUCCGUUGUGAAAACUCGAGGCUCAACCUCGAGACGCCGAUGGAAACCAUCUGACUAGAGUCCGGAAGAGGAGAGUGGAAUUCCUGGUGUAGCGGUGAAAUGCGCAGAUAUCAGGAGGAACACCGGUGGCGAAGGCGGGUCUCUGGGCCGAUACUGACGCUGAGGAGCGAAAGCGUGGGGAGCGAACGG